CCUACGGGUGGCUGCAGUAGGGAAUAUUGGACAAUGGGCGCAAGCCUGAUCCGGCCAUGCCGCGUGAGUGAAGAAGGCCCUCGGGUUGUAAAGCUCUUUUGUCCGGAAAGAAAAGCAAUCGGUUAAUACCCGGUUGUUCUGACGGUACCGGAAGAAUAAGCACCGGCUAACUUCGUGCCAGCAGCCGCGGUAAUACGAAGGGUACAAGCGUUACUCGGAGUUUCUGGGCGUAGAGCGUGAGUAGUGAUGUGAAAGCCCUGGGCUCAACCUGGGAAUGGCAUUGGAUACUGGCGGGCUAGAGUGCGGUAGAGGGUAGUGGAAUUCCCGGUGUAGCAGUGAAAUGCGUAGAGAUCGGGAGGAACAUCUGUGGCGAAGGCGACUGCCUGGACCAGCACUGACACUGAGGCACGAAAGCGUGGGGAGCAAACAGGAUUAGAUACCCGGGUAGUC
rnacentral:rRNA from 1 species